AGUGUACAGUCUGCCCCGAGCUGGAGUGCAGCUUUCAGGAUGGAGCCUGUUCUGUCUGUUUCCUUCUUCAGUGGGAGUCAUGUACUCAACGCUUCCGAGUGUGUGCGGGCGUGAAUGAGAGGCCAGCGAUGGAAGAGAUGCAGGGCGGCGGUCUGGCAGGUAAUGAAGACUGAGACAGAAGCUCCUCCCUGGGGUGAUUUUCACAAUAGUACAGGUGCCCCUGAGGCUUCUCUGAUAGCUCAGCUGGUAACGAAUCCUCCUGCAAUGUGGGAGACCUGGGUUCGAUCCCUGGGUUGGGAAGAUCCCCUGGAGAAGGGAAAGGCUACCCACUCCAGUAUUCUGGCCUGGAGAAUUCCACGGACUUGAGGUCGAAAAGAGUCAGACAUGACUGAGUGACUUUCACUUCACUUUCAGAGGUGCCCCUGAAAGAAGAUCGGAUCUGCCAGGAAGGAUUCAUUAGAAGGACUGAUGCUGAAGCUGAAACUCCAAUACUUUGGUGGGAAGA